rnacentral:ncRNA from 1 species
GUGUUGCAUGAAAGGAAAGAAAGUUAGCACUCCACUGGACAAGGAUGGAAGAGACCCUCGGGCUUGACAACACGCACGCAGUUAAGACAUUGCCAUCUAACCACGGGUUUUU